GACCAUGAAGUGCCACGGGAUGACCUUUUCUUAUCCUGCUCUUGUCUUGACAUGGUAAACAGUAUUGCCCAGCAUUAUCUCAAUUAUUUAAUCAGUUUUAUGGCCCGGCAAUUACAUUUCUGUGUUUCCAUUCAAAAAUUAUAUUAAACUGAAAAAACUUUUUGUCUACUUUUGUUAGAUUCAUGUAUCUUUGUUGAAAUAGUGUACUUGAUAGCUAUCUAUUUUCAUAUUAUUUUUUUAAAUAUUUUAUAUUUAUUAAAAAAAUUUAUUAUUAAAAAAAAGGCCUCAUUCAUUGGAUUCGCCUUAGGCCCCCAAA
rnacentral:lncRNA from 1 species